GACGAACGCUGGCGGCGUGCCUAAUACAUGCAAGUUGAGCGCUGAAGGUUGGUACUUGUACCAACUGGAUGAGCAGCGAACGGGUGAGUAACGCGUGGGGAAUCUGCCUUUGAGCGGGGGACAACAUUUGGAAACGAAUGCUAAUACCGCAUAAAAACUUUAAACACAAGUUUUAAGUUUGAAAGAUGCAAUUGCAUCACUCAAAGAUGAUCCCGCGUUGUAUUAGCUAGUUGGUGAGGUAAAGGCUCACCAAGGCGAGGUGACAUAGCCGACCUGAGAGGGUGAGCGGCCACGCCGAGACUGAGACACGGCCCGAACCCCUACGAGAGGGAGCAGUAGGGGAUCCUCGGGGAUGGACGAAAGUCUGAACGAGCAACGCCGCGUGAGUGAAGAAGGUUGUCGGAUCGUGAAACUCUGUUGGUAGUGAAGAACGUUGGUGAGAGUGGAAAGCUCAGCAAGUGACGGUAACUACCCAGAAAGCGACGGCUAACUACGUG
rnacentral:rRNA from 1 species